UGCAAGUCGAGCGGCAGCGGAAAGUAGCUUGCUACUUUGCCGGCGAGCGGCGGACGGGUGAGUAAUGUCUGGGGAUCUGCCUGAUGGAGGGGGAUAACUACUGGAAACGGUAGCUAAUACCGCAUAACCUCGCAAGAGCAAA
rnacentral:rRNA from 1 species